rnacentral:rRNA from 1 species
AAAGAAAAUAACAAUGAUUCCCCUAGUAACGGCGAGCGAAGAGGGAAUAGCUCAAAUUUUAAAUCUGUUGGGUCUUACCUAACCGAGUUGUAAUUUGAAGAAACGUUUUCUGCGUGUUUGAUUUAGCCCAAAUCCUUUGGGAUAAGGUAUCAUGGAGGGUGAGAAUCCCGUCCGGCCUAAUCAAAUGUGCUUUACGAUACGUUUUCUAAGAGUCGAGUUGUUUGGGAUUGCAGCUCAAAAUGGGAGGUAAAUUUCUCCUAAGGCUAAAUAUAGGCGAGAGACCGAUAGCGAACAAGUACCGUGAGGGAAAGAUGAAAAGAACUUUGGAAAGAGAGUUAAACAGUACGUGAAAUUGUUGAAAGGGAAACGAUUAAAGUCAGUCGUACUAACGGGGAAUCAACCUUUUGAGGGUGGAAUUGUGGGAUUCAGAGUGCCUUUGUCUUUCACAACCUGCUUUUUUUGGGUGCACUUUCUCGUAUUGUAGGUCAGCAUCGGUUUCGACCGUUAUAAAAUGACUGGAGGAAUGUAGCUUCGAUCUCGUAUUGAAGUGUUAUAGCCUUUGGUAGAUGUAACGGAUGGGAUCGAGGAUUGCAAUUAAUACCCUCAUGGGCUAUCCGCCUGGCCUCUGACAUGUCACUCUGGUGCCGAAAGCUUGCUUAUGGUAUUAUAGUGUACGGUCAAAAGGUUAGAACGGAUUAAAUU